GUUGAGAGAGGACCUUGCCAACAGUGGGGGAGGGGAGAGGGAGGAGGAACGCCGGAUCGAUGGAUAGUGCAACCCAAAGCUCAUUUUUAAGUCCGGGAGGAAGUUAUUUGUGCAAGAGCCGUGCCAUUGGAGACGGGGGGAGCAGUAGACACACGCGCACAUUUGCCUACCGAUGUGAUGCCGUCAGCAGGAAACAUAGCUCUCCUGGGAAUCCAAACGGCCUGCUAAUAUCCAUCCCCAAUGUACAGCCACACGAGACCUUACAAAUCACGAGCCUCACAGCGCUCAACUCGCCGUGCCUCUAUCGAGCAUAUACACAGAGGCGGCUAAUCGGAACCAUCCAUUAUAUGAGGGCAGGCUUGUUUCAGGCCACCGGCCAUUCAUGGUGAUGGAUGUGAAUGAAGGCUGUGGGAGAGAAAGACCUUUAGAGAGUGCGAACAGAUUAAGAUCCAUACUGUCCUGGAUACCAUGCCUCCAACCUCACUCAGCUCUUUGCCAGCCUGGAGCUCCGUUCACCUGCGUGCUUCUUCCUGGUCUGCCGCUCUGCUCUGCAUCUACUCCCCAUCAGACCCCUUUACCCCUGUACAUUCAAUAAACUGUGUUUGACUACUUUUCAUCA